CAACGGGCUGUGUGCUGUAUAGCAUCCUUCAUUGGCUGGGUAGCUGUGUGGUUGUACAUGUGGUUGCCUUCGUUUGCCUAUGAUUCAGCUUCACUGGAAAUCUUCCUCCGGCACUUUUGUGUUCAUUAUGAAGGUCUUGUUUCGGAGAAGGUUCCAGGCACCGUAUGAUAAUGAAUUCUAACAAUAACUAUUCUAAUAAGGAAAA